rnacentral:ribozyme from 1 species
UUUUCAGAGUCUGUGCAUUGCACUGCAGGCGGUGCACGUUGGCAACGGCAAUGCCGAGCGGUCUGACUGACUGACUGACUGACGACAGCCGACAGACAGAUUGUUCCACCAUCAAUC